rnacentral:rRNA from 1 species
CAGUAGCCGCGGGAAUACGGAGGGAGCUAGCGUUGUUCGGAAUUACUGGGCGUAAAGCGCGCGUAGGCGGUUACUCAAGUCAGAGGUGAAAGCCCGGGGCUCAACCCCGGAACUGCCUUUGAAACUAGGUGACUAGAAUCUUGGAGAGGUCAGUGGAAUUCCGAGUGUAGAGGUGAAAUUCGUAGAUAUUCGGAAGAACACCAGUGGCGAAGGCGACUGACUGGACAAGUAUUGACGCUGAGGUGCGAAAGCGUGGGGAGCAAACAGGAUUAGAUACCCGUGUAGUCCCUGUCUCUUAUAC